UCUCUCUCUCUCUCGCACACACACAGACAUUUUUGUCCAGGUUGAGGCUCAAACUUUCAUCUGCUGGCACAUAAUGGGAAACUGCAUUUUGGGGAAAAAGAAUCAAGUAAAAGGGCACACAGAUGAUAAAAGUGAGACAGCCACAGAAAAUGAGCCUCAAGAGGAUGUAACAUAUGUAACCGUUGACCACAGCGCCAAAGUGUCAAGAAGACGUUAUGUUUCCGCUGAAGAUAGCUGUUUGUACGUCACAGUAAACCUCACGCCUGCCCCUAAGCCGGAACCCGAAUCUGACUGCUCGUCCAGAGAGGACACUGCAGACGAUUACGUCCUCAUGAUGUAAAUCAACAACAACAACAACAACAAAAAACUGGAGAAACGACAGUUCAAGAGAAUGAUGGCUACUUCAGAGGCUUGUGCAAACUUCCUCUUGAACUGUCAAUCGUCAGUGAAGAAACUGAGAGAAAAGUGAAAGAAAACAUCUACACAUGGACACAUCAAACCCGGGCAGGUUUGCUUGUGCGUCUGUGGCGUAAUAUCAGGCCUGAACACAGCUGUGGGUUUCAUUCCUCAUGAUGAGACUGCACCUUAGAAGAAGGUCAACCUGAGGGUACUUUGGAGCUUUGACUCUGGUGUGCCUGGAACAUUAAAGGGGUCCUAAUGUGCAAAAUCUGUUUUUAUCUAGUUUAAACAGUUUUGGAUUUCAUGCUCACCAUCAUCAAACUAACACAAGUUAAUGUAUAUCUGUGUGAAUGCAACAAUACUCUGUGUAAUUAAGACCUGAAACGUCUUGUUUUAGAUGCCUGUGACAUAUGUCACAGGUGCCCAUAUCUUAGCUCCUGUUUGUUCUUAGACACGCCUACUGAUGAAUCAGUGUGUACUGUGUGUGAUACAUUCCCCAGAUCUCUGGGAGGGACAUCGAGAUACACCCACUCAUAAGUGACAGUAGCGUGACCAACAUCCCAUUUAAAGUAACAGACACCACAAAAGGUUAUUUCUUAGACAUCAGGGGCCAUAUUUAUAAAGCACUGAGUAGGAUUACAGGAUAUACAUACAACAGAAAUCACAACAAACAGAAAUCAAGGUUCAUCCUUUAAGCCAUUCAUUUUUUACCACUUACCCAGUUCCAGGUCAUGGUGGCAGCAGACCAAGCAACUCAUCCCACACUUCCCUAUCCUUAGCCACAUCCUGUAACUCUUCCUGUGGGAUCUUGAGGUGAAAAAUCAAGGUGCUUGUGUGCGAUGACAGCAGUGGCACGAUGAACAAGCAUGCAACCAGGGGCAGCACUAGAUGGCUACAGUGACCUCAAAACUAGUUUUGAAAAUGAGCAUUCACUCAUCCUGCUGCAAGUUUCUUCUCAGUUUUGACAUCACAAUCACUGAUGGUCAUAACAUUAACAAGUUUUUAGAAGCUUUAACAAGCUCACCACAAGAACCAGAAUGAAACUUUCCAAAUAAGAGAAUAACUAGACAAUUAUUUACUGUUGCAGUUUUCCCAGAAACCUUCAAACCACUGUGAUGGAAUUGUGCUGAGGUCUUAAGAUAAAAUCUCACCUAUUUAAAUCUAAGCAGUGAAAAUAAUGUGAAACCAUUUUUAGACAAAAUCGCAGGAGGGAAACAAUUUGUUUCAUGGCAGCAUGUCACACUUUGUUCAAAUGAUGGCAAUAAUCCAUUCAUGUCCACCACUAAAAUAUUUACAUUUCAGCAGCUCCAGUGUGAGACUUUCAUUAAUUUUCUGACCCUGCGCAUCAUUGGAAGCCAGAGCAAACCCACAAAUUCCACUAGGUGGGAAGCGAUCCUGCAACCUUCUUGCUGGGAGGGAAUAGUUCUAAUCACUAAGCCAAUGUGCUGCCCCCAGCAUUGAUUAAAUAUUAAAUAUGUGGCUUGGGGAAAGAGCUGAGUCAGUUUACAGUAUAUAUUAACAAUUGAACAGUCCCUCUGAAAUAGUUAUGGAUCACUAUUACAUCUAAGAAAGUCAAUUUUUUUAAUAAUACAUAUACCGGCCAUAUGUGACAUCUUAUUAAGUAGAACUGAAUGCAGGAGUUAUGACUCACUUUCACACUGCAGCGUUUUAACCCUAUGCAAAAUGCAUGAGUGACAGUUUGCAUACCUAUGCAAACAUUUUGCCAUCUAGUUUUUUUUAUAUACAUCAGAGCUUAUGUGUUGAAAUUACCAUGCACAUCAUUUGGGUCCCGUUUGUGCAUUCACCAUGGUUAUAAAUGAGACCCCAGGUGUAUUCUGGAUGUCACUUCACACGCUAAAAACAAAUUGGCCAAAUCAACCAAUAUAUUGGUUGAAUUACCCAAUCGCCUGCAUUGAUACAUUGCAUCCAGAAAGUAUUUACAGCACUGCACCAUGUCCACAUUUUAUUAUGUUAAAGACUAAAAUGGAUGAAAUUUGUUUUCUCCCUUGAAAUUCUACACACAAUACCCCAUAAUGACAUGUGAAAAAAGUUUAAUGGUAUAACAGUCUCCAAGCGAAGUACUAAUCUGGACCUUCGCUGCUGACAUUUGAUGGGUUCAGGUACACAAAGCAGGAUGACAGAAAUACUUCUGAAGGGAUCUGAGAGUUUAAUGAUUUUGUUUCAGGUGAUUCACCCAGUUUGCAAAGGUGUUCUUGGGUGUAAAUUUUAACCCCCAGGGGUUCAGAAACAUUAAAACAUUUAUGUGAACUUGCUAGUGAGUCCAUGGACCCCUGAGGGUUCAUAUCUGUUUCUAAGAAACCUGAAACCUGGUAAUUUGUGUGAGCUUUCUGAAAGGGUUUGUAAUAGGACUGCUUCUAAUACGCAAAAAUAUGCAAAGCAUAUUUGCUUAGUAAAACUUGAAAUUGUCCCUAGGUGUGGGUAUGAAUGUGUUUGUUUGUCUAUACGUGGCCCUGCAACAGACUGGUGUCCUGUCCAGGGUGUACCCCGCCUCAAGCUUUAUGGAUGCUAGGAUAGGCUGCAGCACUCCUCUGACCCUUAAUUGGAGUAAGCGGGUAUAGAAAAUGGAUGAAAGGAUUUGAGAUAAGGAAAGCAGAAAGAGGAAAUAACAUGAGCAAAAUGGAAAUUGGAAAAUGGAAAUUUUUGAUAGCGAGUACAGAGUUCACCUGUUGUCCGUACUCUACUCUACAUACACGAGACCAGCUUGAAUGUGCUUUAACUGUCAUAAAUGAGAUGGCAUGCUUCAGUAAACAGUGUUACUACUGGCAACCUAAAGGUAUAAAUUAGAGUUUAAUUAUGGUAUUACAAAUUUAUUUUUUUUGUAUCUUAAUUCAGACAUCCUCAUCUAAUGGCUCAUCUGUACAUUAUUACCCUUAGCAGCAUGCUAUCCAUACGUUUGAAGCAUCUUGAGUUGAUUUUUGUUCAUCUUCAAAAAGGCUAAUUUAUGUUUUAAGGAAAAAAAAGCAUAUAUUUGAAUUAUAGAUGCAUGACAUACAUACCAAAUUUUUAAUAUUAAAAAGUGAUAUGUGUCACUCUCAUUAUCAAUCUCCAUGGACUUGAUGCUUUUAAAGAGAAUUCCUUAAAUUGAAGACAUAUGGCGUAUGUGGAUGGCAGCCAUGCAUGUAUACAUACAGUACUGUGCAAAUGUUUUAGGGACAUUUAAUGCAUCAUAAAAGCAUUAAAGAAUUAUGAUAAAUAUUCAUAAAUACAUGAAAUGUGUAAUGAAUUUCAACUUUAAUCAUAGUUCCCAUUAAAACUGGGUUCUAUUUACAUGUGUUUUUAUUGGUAUACGAGCGUGUUGGCCAUGGGGAUCCUCGGGCUCUAGAUUGAGUAGUGUUUAUAAAAAAGGUAGCUGACAUUUUUCAAGGGUGGUAAUAAAUAAUGCAAAGUUUCUAUAAUGAGUUGGAAUGGUGUAUGAGUCCAG